AGUUUGAGAUUGGAUAAGAUUUCUAUGAUAUUUGAAGAUGUAAUAGUCCGAUUAAGGUGAAAUUGAUUUCAUCUUUUUUGUACUUGUUUCUAAUUAAGACAUUAAGAAGUGUGUAAAAUUUGAGUUAACAUCAAUCAUCCAAUUAUUAGUUGUUGAAGUUCUAUUUUCUAUAGAGUUUGUUAAGAGUUGUUUAAAAUCUAAGAUUUGAUUAGGAUUGGUUUUGGAUUCAGUCUAAGAUUUGCUUAGGAUUUGGUUUAAAACUGGUAUAGAAUUUUUCUACAAUUUAGGAUAUUAUUAGGAUUUUAAUUAGGAUUAAAUCUAAAAUUUGGUUAAAAUUCAAUUAGAGUUUCAAUUAGGAUUUGACUUAAUAUUUGACCUAAGAUUUAGUUAAGAUUAAAUUAAAGUUUUAAUUAAGAUUAUAUUAAGUUUUCUAUUUUUUAUAUUUUUAUAAGAUUCUUUAUUUUUUUUAAAGAUUUUUAUUUCUAAUAUUUCUUUAAGAUUAUUU
rnacentral:lncRNA from 1 species